CCCAUCAGCCAGCAUGGCCAACUGCCAGGGAUCAAGGGUGUUGGAGCUGGAGGGCACGAGAUUGCAGGAGGCUGCAUUAUGCCAUUACACCUAAUUGAGUUAUCCUCUAUGAAUUUGUCUAGUCAAGGUAGUUCUGUGAAACCUCCAUGCUAAGAAACAGUCUAGCUCUGAAUAGCAACUUCUGUGGAGCAACAGUGGGGGGAUGUCUGUUGUUUUCCUGUCCUGCUGACUGACCUACCAGCUACAUCCAGCUGGCCCCUGUGGGAGACUAGAGAGGCCCACCUUGGUCAGAUACAACUAAUACUGAGGGCCAUCCAAUGAAGCUGAAAGCUGGAAGAUUCAGGACAGACACAAGAAUGUACUUCUUCACACAGUGCAUAGAUAACACUAUGAAACCUGCAGAUCUAGAAGAUCUGAAUGAGGCAUGUGGUUAAAUGUAAAUUAGAGGAAGAAUACCAUCUAGCUGGAUCUAGGAAGUCACAAAUGCCUUAUUAUUAGAGGAAGAGGCCAUGGUCAACCUGGAAAACACUGUUGCAAGAACAUCUCUCUGGACCAGACUUAUCCAACCUGCUGCCUCCAGAUGUUUGGUACUACAAAGCCUCACCCAGCGCUGUUUUGUUGUUGUUUUUAAAACUAUCAUCAUUACUGGGGGAUUUUUCAGUGCCUGUUCAAUAAACCAUACACAUAAGAGCAACUGUGA